UACCCCGCCUUGGAAUUAAGCAUAUCAAUAAGCGGAUCGGAAAUCUAGAAACCAACAGGGAUUGCCUCAGUAACGGCGAGUGAAGCGGCAAGAGCUCAAAUUUGAAAGCUGGCUCCUUCGGGGUCCGCAUUGUAAUUUGCAGAGGAUGCUUCGGGAGCGGCCCCCAUCUAAGUGCCCUGGAACGGGCCGUCAUAGAGGGUGAAAAUCCCGUCUGGGAUGGGGUGUCCGCGCCCGUGUGAAGCUCCUUCGACGAGUCGAGUUGUUUGGGAAUGCAGCUCUAAAUGGGUGGUAAAUUUCAUCUAAAGCUAAAUAUUGGCCGGAGACCGAUAGCGCACAAGUAGAGUGAUCGAAAGAUGAAAAGCACUUUGAAAAGAGAGUUAAACAGCACGUGAAAUUGUUGAAAGGGAAGCGCUUGCGACCAGACUCGCCCACGGGGUUCAGCCGGCAUUCGUGCCGGUGUACUUCCCCGCGGGCGGGCCAGCGUCGGUUUGGGCGGCCGGUCAAAGGCCCUCGGAAUGUAACGCCCCCCGGGGCGUCUUAUAGCCGAGGGUGCCAUGCCGGCCAGCCCAGACCGAGGAACGCGGCCUUCGGCUCGGACGCCUGGCCAUUAAUACGGCCA
rnacentral:rRNA from 1 species